AACGAACGCUGGCGGCGUGCCUAACACAUGCAAGUCGAACGAGAAAGGGGCUUCGGCUCCGAGUAAAGUGGCGCACGGGUGAGUAAAACGUGGGUAACCUGCCUCUAAGAUUGGGAUAACUCGUCGAAAGAUGAGCUAAUACCGGAUAAGACCACAGUUCCCGCGGGAACAGGGGUCAAAGGUAGCCUCUGCUUGCACGCUAUCACUUAGAGAUGGGCCUGCGCACCAUUAGCUAGUUGGUAGGGUAACGGCCUACCAAGGCAAAGAUGGUUAGCUGGUCUGAGAUGAUGACCAGCCACACUGGAACUGAGACACGGUCCAGACUCCUACGGGAGGCAGCAGUGGGGAAUAUUGCGCAAUGGGCGAAAGCUUGACGCAGCAACGCCGCGUGAGUGAUGAAGGCCUUCGGGUCGUAAAGCUCUGUCGGGAGGAACGAAUGCUCCCAAGGUUAACAGCCUCGGGAGGUGACGGUACCUUCAAAGGAAGCACCGGCUAACUCUGUGCCAGCCGCCGCUGUAAAAC
rnacentral:rRNA from 1 species